GGGGAUGACGUCAAGUCAUCAUGGCCCUUACGACCAGGGCUACACACGUGCUACAAUGGCGCAUACAAAGAGAAGCGACCUCGCGAGAGCAAGCGGACCUCAUAAAGUGCGUCGUAGUCCGGAUUGGAGUCUGCAACUCGACUCCAUGAAGUCGGAAUCGCUAGUAAUCGUGGAUCAGAAUGCCACGGUGAAUACGUUCCCGGGCCUUGUACACACCGCCCGUCACACCAUGGGAGUGGGUUGCAAAAGAAGUAGGUAGCUUAACCUUCGGGAGGGCGCUUACCACUUUGUGAUUCAUGACUGGGGUGAAGUCGUAACAAGGUAACCGUAGGGGAACCUGCGGUUGGAUCAC
rnacentral:rRNA from 1 species